rnacentral:rRNA from 1 species
UACAGAGGUCUCAAGCGUUGUUCGGAUUCAUUGGGCGUAAAGGGUGCGUAGGCGGCGCGGUAAGUCGGGUGUGAAAUCUCCGGGCUUAACUCGGAACGGCCAAGUGAAACUGUCAAGCUAGAGUGCAGAAGGGGCAAUCGGAAUUCUUGGUGUAGCGGUGAAAUGCGUAGAUAUCAGGAAGAACACCCGUGGCGAAGGCGGCUCUCUGGGACGGUACUGACGCUGAGGCGCGAAAGCGUGGGGAGCAAACAGG